rnacentral:rRNA from 1 species
CUGUUGUUAAAGAAGAACACGUAUGAGAGUAACUGUUCAUACGUUGACGGUAUUUAACCAGAAAGUCACGGCUAACUACGUGCCAGCAGCCGCGGUAAUACGUAGGUGGCAAGCGUUAUCCGGAUUUAUUGGGCGUAAAGAGAGUGCAGGCGGUUUUCUUAAGUCUGAUGUGAAAGCCUUCGGCUUAACCGGGGAAGGUGCAUCGGAAACUAGGAUAACUUGAGUGCAGAAGAGGGUAGUGGAACUCCAUGUGUAGCGGUGGAAUGCGUAGAUAUAUGGAAGAACACCAGUGGCGAAGGCGGCUACCUGGUCUGCAACUGACGCUGAGACUCGAAAGCAUGGGUAGCGAACAGGAUUAGAUACCCUGGUAG